rnacentral:rRNA from 1 species
AAGUGCGAAUGCUGAAUGAGUAACGAUAAUGGGUGUGAAAAACACCCACGCCGAAAGACCAAGGUUUCCUGCGCAACGUUAAUCGACGCAGGGUUAGUCGGUCCCUAAGGCGAGGCUGAAAAGCGUAGUCGAUGGAAAACAGGUUAAUAUUCCUGUACUUCUGGUUAUUGCGAUGGAGGGACGGAGAAGGCUAGGCCAGCUUGGCGUUGGUUGUCCAAGUUUAAGGUGGUAGGCUGGAAUCUUAGGUAAAUCCGGGAUUCUAAGGCCGAGAGCUGAUGACGAGUUAUCUUUUAGAUGACGAAGUGGUUGAUGCCAUGCUUCCAAGAAAAGCUUCUAAGCUUCAGGUAACCAGGAACCGUACCCCAAACCGACACAGGUGGUUGGGUAGAGAAUACCAAGGCGCUUGAGAGAACUCGGGUGAAGGAACUAGGCAAAAUGGCACCGUAACUUCGGGAGAAGGUGCGCCGGUGAGGGUGAAGGACUUGCUCCGUAAGCUCAUGCCGGUCGAAGAUACCAGGCCGCUGCGACUGUUUAUUAAAAACACAGCACUCUGCAAACACGAAAGUGGACGUAUAGGGUGUGACGCCUGCCCGGUGCCGGAAGGUUAAUUGAUGGGGUUAGCUAACGCGAAGCUCUUGAUCGAAGCCCCGGUAAACGGCGGCCGUAACUAUAACGGUCCUAAGGUAGCGAAAUUCCUUGUCGGGUAAGUUCCGACCUGCACGAAUGGCGUAACGAUGGCGGCGCUGUCUCCACCCGAGACUCAGUGAAAUUGAAAUCGCUGUGAAGAUGCAGUGUAUCCGCGGCUAGACGGAAAGACCCCGUGAACCUUUACUAUAGCUUUGCACUGGACUUUGAAUUUGCUUGUGUAGGAUAGGUGGGAGGCUUUGAAGCGUGGACGCCAGUUCGCGUGGAGCCAACCUUGAAAUACCACCCUGGCAACUUUGAGGUUCUAACUCAGGUCCGUUAUCCGGAUCGAGGACAGUGUAUGGUGGGUAGUUUGACUGGGGCGGUCUCCUCCUAAAGAGUAACGGAGGAGUACGAAGGUGCGCUCAGACCGGUCGGAAAUCGGUCGUAGAGUAUAAAGGCAAAAGCGCGCUUGACUGCGAGACAGACACGUCGAGCAGGUACGAAAGUAGGUCUUAGUGAUCCGGUGGUUCUGUAUGGAAGGGCCAUCGCUCAACGGAUAAAAGGUACUCCGGGGAUAACAGGCUGAUACCGCCCAAGAGUUCAUAUCGACGGCGGUGUUUGGCACCUCGAUGUCGGCUCAUCACAUCCUGGGGCUGAAGCCGGUCCCAAGGGUAUGGCUGUUCGCCAUUUAAAGUGGUACGCGAGCUGGGUUUAGAACGUCGUGAGACAGUUCGGUCCCUAUCUGCCGUGGACGUUUGAGAUUUGAGAGGGGCUGCUCCUAGUACGAGAGGACCGGAGUGGACGAACCUCUGGUGUUCCGGUUGUCACGCCAGUGGCAUUGCCGGGUAGCUAUGUUCGGAAUAGAUAACCGCUGAAAGCAUCUAAGCGGGAAACUAGCCUCAAGAUGAGAUCUCACUGGGACCUUGAGUCCCCUGAAGGGCCGUCGAAGACUACGACGUUGAUAGGUUGGGUGUGUAAGCGCUGUGAGGCGUUGAGCUAACCAAUACUAAUUGCCCGUGAGGCUUGACCAU